GGCCCGUGCAGCCCACGUCUCCGUCCGCCCCGUCCCUAUGUUCGUCUUCCGCGUCCACCCAGCUAGUUGCAACCCAGAAAUCUCCGGCGCAGCCCCAACCCUCUCGAGAAGCGAUCGAUCGCCCGCUGUGCGCGCCAUGUCGUCGCUCGCCGUCGGCCGCGGGCCGGAGAGUGAGCUGUACUGGCUCGGGGGCCUCUUCACGGCCGCGGAGCUCGCCGCCGCCGACCUGCUGCUAAAGCUACGCGGUGACGACGAUGAGGCGGCGGCGGCGUCCGCCGACACGUCAUCAUACUCGCGGCGGUUCCCGAGCUCCCGCCGCGAGGACCUCGCCGUGGUCGACCAGGAGACGGAGGAGGAGCGGGCCUUCGAGGACGCCGCGACGGCGUCUGCGGCCACGCCGUUCUCCUCGAGGCGGUCUGCGAGCUCGUGCUGCCAGGUCCCCGUGAAGGCCGAGGAGGAGCCUCGGCCGAUCCUCAAGGAGACGGCGCCGUCGCUGCUGGGGUCGAUGGAGCUCGACAGGAGGGCGAGGAAGAGGUACCGCCUGUUGUCUGAGUUGUACGCCGCCACGGCCCCGGUGACAUCAUCUUCCGCCUCCGCGGAGAAGAUACGGAAGGUACACGGCGACCACGGCGCCGGCACCGUCGAGUCGUCGGUGGACCAGGCGACGAGGAAUGGCGAGGGACUAGUAGCACAGAAGGGCUUCUAUGUAAUUACAACACCGUGAUCUUAGCGUUGUUUCGCCUCCUCAGCUAUACAGUACUUAGUACUCCCUCCGGUCCUUUUUACUCUGCAUAUUAGGUUUGUCUGAAGUCAAUCUCAUCCAACUUUGACCAAGUUUAUAUAAAAAAUUAUAGACAUUCACAUAACAACACCAAUAUCAUUAGAUUCAUCUCGGAAUAUAUUUUCAUAUUAUAUUUAUUAAAUAUUAUAGAUGCUAAUAAUUUCUAAUAUAAAUUUGGUCAAACUUAGCAAAGUUUGACUUUCGGCAAAACCAAUGUGCAGAGUAAAAAGGACCGGAGGGAGUAGUAAUCUUCUCGGAGAAGGAACGGAAGGAAAACACACUUGUACAGGACUAAAAAAACUAAGGUGGUUACCGCCUGAAACUUUUGAAUCUGAGCUUCCAAGGUCAGGUCGCAUCCGUCCCCCAAGAAUUUGAAUUUGAAAUUUUUCUUCUCUCCUGGUACUUAUUACAUGUAAGCACACACACCA
rnacentral:rRNA from 1 species